rfam:Pseudomonas syringae strain GAW0119 contig81.1, whole genome shotgun sequence.
GGGGAGCCCGGCAUGGAUGCCGGGCUAGCCGCACUAGGCCAUGGAUGGCCCAUUGCGGCGUCCCC